GACAGAGGCCCCAAGCGUUAGGCGGAAUCACUGGGCUUAAAGCGUGUGUAGGCGGACGCCUAAGUGUCUUGUGAAAUCCCACGGCUCACCCGUGGAACUGCUGGGCAUACUGGGCGUCUUGGGCCAACUAGGGGCAGCCGGAACAAGCGGUGGAGCGGUGAAAUGCGUAGAUAUCGCUUGGAACGCCGAAGGUGAAAAACAGGCUGCUGGGGGUGUGCCGACGCUGAGACACGAA
rnacentral:rRNA from 1 species